GAUGAAGAACGUAGCGAAAUGCGAUAAGUAAUGUGAAUUGCAGAAUUCAGUGAAUCAUCGAAUCUUUGAACGCACCUUGCGCCCUUUGGACAUUCCGAAGGGCAUGCCUGUUUGAGUAUCAUGAACACCUCAACUCUCACGGCUUGUCCGUGAUGAGCUUGGACUUUGGGGGUCUUGCCGGCCUGUGGUCGGCUCCUCUCAAAUGGAUCAGCUUGCCAGUGUUUGGUGGCAUCACAGGUGUGAUAACUAUCUGCGCUUGUGGUUUUCCAUCAGAUAACCUUCAGUGAUAUGGAGGUUCGCUGGAGCUCACAAAUGUCUCUCCUUAGUGAGGACAGCUCUUUGAACGUUUGAUCUCAAAUCAGGUAGGACUACCCGCUGAACUUAAGCAUAUCAAUAACGGAGGA
rnacentral:misc_RNA from 1 species